rnacentral:rRNA from 1 species
CCUACGGGCGGCAGCAGUGGGGAAUAUUGCGCAAUGGGCGAAAGCCUGACGCAGCGACGCCGCGUGAGGGAUGAAGGUCUUCGGAUCGUAAACCUCUGUCAGCAGGGAAGAACGGUCACUGUGCUAAUCAGCAGUGAAUUGACGGUACCUGCAAAGGAAGCACCGGCUAACUCCGUGCCAGCAGCCGCGGUAAUACGGAGGGUGCGAGCGUUAAUCGGAAUUACUGGGCGUAAAGCGCUCGUAGGCGGUAUGUCAAGUCAAGGGGGAAAUCCCCGCGCUCCACGUGGGAACUGCCUUUGAAACUGGCAAACUGGAGUGUGUGAGAGGAUAGUGGAAGUCCAGGUGUAGGAGUGAAAUCCGUAGAUAUCUGGAGGAACAUCAGUGGCGAAGGCGACUAUCUGGCACAUAACUGACGCUGAGGAGCGAAAGCGUGGGUAGCAAACAGGAUUAGAUACCCCAGUAGUC